GAUGAAGAACGUAGCGAAAUGCGAUAAGUAAUGUGAAUUGCAGAAUUCAGUGAAUCAUCGAAUCUUUGAACGCACAUUGCGCCCCUUGGUAUUCCGAGGGGCAUGCCUGUUCGAGCGUCAAUAUAACCCCUCAAGCUCAGCUUGGUGUUGGGGCCUGCUGCACUGGCAGCCCUUAAAAUCAGUGGCGGCGCCAUCUGGCUCUAAGCGUAGUAAUUCUUCUCGCUAUGGAGUCCUGGUGGAUGCUUGCCAUCAACCCCCAAUUUUUCUAUGGUUGACCUCGGAUCAGGUAGGGAUACCCGCUGAACUUAAGCAUAUCAAUAAGCGGAGGA
rnacentral:misc_RNA from 1 species